UUGGCCUACGGGGGGCAGCAGUGGGGAAUAUUGCACAAUGGGGGAAACCCUGAUGCAGCGACGCCGCGUGAGUGAAGAAGUAAUUCGUUAUGUAAAGCUCUAUCAGCAGGGAAGAAAAUGACGGUACCUGAGUAAGAAGCCCCGGCUAACUACGUGCCAGCAGCCGCGGUAAUACGUAGGGGGCAAGCGUUAUCCGGAUUUACUGGGUGUAAAGGGAGCGUAGACGGCGAUGCAAGUCUGAAGUGAGAGGCGGGGG
rnacentral:rRNA from 1 species